UAUAUCGCCAGGGGGUGCUUCGGUAAAACCGAGGCUGAGAGCAUACCCCUAGUACUUGAUCCAGGUAAUGCUGGCGGAGGAAUUGGCGAGCAAGAGAAGU
rnacentral:ncRNA from 2 species